rnacentral:piRNA from 1 species
UUCAGAUGUUCUUUACUCUGAGUGGGUGAC